GGGAUAACACUUGGAAACAGGUGCUAAUACCGCAUAACCAUGAACACCGCAUGAUGUUCAUGUAAAAGACGGCUUUUGCUGUCACUUUUGGAUGGGCCUGCGGCGUAUUAACUUGUUGGUGGGGUAACGGCCUACCAAGGUGAUGAUACGUAGCCGAACUGAGAGGUUGAUCGGCCACAUUGGGACUGAGACACGGCCCAAACUCCUACGGGAGGCAGCAGUAGGGGAAUCUUCCACAAUGGACGAAAGUCUGAUGGAGCAACGCCGCGUGAAUGAAGAAGGCCUUCGGGGUCGUAAAAUUCUGUUGUCAGAGAAGAACGUGCGUGAGAGUAACUGUUCACGUAUUGACGGUAUCUGACCAGAAAGCCACGGCUAACUACGUGCCAGCAGCCGCGGUAAUACGUAGGUGGCGAGCGUUGUCCGGAUUUAUUGGGCGUAAAGGGAACGCAGGCGGUCUUUUAAGUCUGAUGUGAAAGCCUUCGUCUUAACCGAAGUAGUGCAUUGGAAACUGGAAGACUUGAGUGCAGAAGAGGAGAGUGGAACUCCAUGUGUAGCGGUGAAAUGCGUAGAUAUAUGGAAGAACACCAGUGGCGAAAGCGGCUCUCUGGUCUGUAACUGACGCUGAGGUUCGAAAGCGUGGGUAGCAAACAGGAUUAGAUACC
rnacentral:rRNA from 1 species